rnacentral:misc_RNA from 1 species
AGAUUUAAGAAAUAUCAACAAAAAUCAAACUGUACUAAAAAAGGAGUGAACAGAAAUUCACCAAAGAGACAACCAGAAGCUAAAAAAACUUGACAGUAAACUAUCAGUUUAAAACUUCUCCAUAAAACGUCUCCAGCAGAGGUAGAAUGCAGCGAGGUCCUCAGAGAGCUAAAUGAUAUUCACAUCAAAAGAAAGAGGAAAGAAUGGAGGAUUUUAAAUGUACAUGAGCAAGAGCUGAUAUUAGCUGAGCUUAUAGAAAUUUGUUGGAAGAUAAACGUGCGGUUGAAGGGGUUACUGUGACAUUAUAGAG